CUACGGGCUGCUGCAGUCGGGAAACUUCUACAAUGCACGCAAGUGUGAUAGAGCAAGCCAAAGUGCGUUUCUAUAAUUGAAACGCUUUUGUAAUAUGUAAAAAGUAUUACGAAUAAGGACUGGGUAAGACUGGUGCCAGCCGCCGCGGUAAUACCAGCGGUCCAAGUGGCAGCCGCGUUUAUUGGGUCUAAAACAUCCGUAGCUCGCUUCGUAAGUCUCUUGUGAAAUCCGGCAUCUUAAGUGUCGGGCGUGCAAGAGAUACUGCGUCGCUAGAGACCGGGAGACGUGAAGAGUACGGUUAGGGUAGCGGUAAAAUGCGUUGAUCCUUACUGGACUAACGAUAGCGAAGGCACUUCACGAGAACGGAUCUGACAGUGAGGGAUGAAGGCUAGGGUCGCAAAACGGAUUAGAUACCCUCGUAGUC
rnacentral:rRNA from 1 species